rnacentral:rRNA from 1 species
AGCGGCGGACGGGUUAGUAACGCGUGGGAAUAUACCCUUUUCUACGGAAUAGCCUCGGGAAACUGAGAGUAAUACCGUAUACGCCCUUCGGGGGAAAGAUUUAUCGGUGAAGGAUUAGCCCGCGUCUGAUUAGAUAGUUGGUGGGGUAAUGGCCUACCAAGUCUACGAUCAGUAGCUGGUUUGAGAGGAUGAUCAGCAACACUGGGACUGAGACACGGCCCAGACUCCUACGGGAGGCAGCAGUGGGGAAUCUUAGACAAUGGGCGCAAGCCUGAUCUAGCCAUGCCGCGUGAGUGACGAAGGCCUUAGGGUCGUAAAGCUCUUUCGCCAGAGAUGAUAAUGACAGUAUCUGGUAAAGAAACCCCGGCUAACUCCGUGCCAGCAGCCGCGGUAAUACGGAGGGGGUUAGCGUUGUUCGGAAUUACUGGGCGUAAAGCGUACGUAGGCGGAUUGGAAAGUAGGGGGUGAAAUCCCAGGGCUCAACCCUGGAACUGCCUCCUAAACUAUCAGUCUAGAGUUCGGGAGAGGUGAGUGGAAUUCCAAGUGUAGAGGUGAAAUUCGUAGAUAUUUGGAGGAACACCAGUGGCGAAGGCGGCUCACUGGCUCGAUACUGACGCUGAGGUACGAAAGUGUGGGGAGCAAACAGGAUUAGAUACCCUGGUAGUCCACACCGUAAACGAUGAAUGCCAGACGUCAGGGGGCUUGCCCUUUGGUGUCACACCUAACGGAUUAAGC